rnacentral:rRNA from 1 species
GAACGCUAGCUACAGGCUUAACACAUGCAAGUCGAGGGGCAUCAGGAAGAAAGCUUGCUUUCUUUGCUGGCGACCGGCGCACGGGUGAGUAACACGUAUCCAACCUGCCCUUUACUCGGGGAUAGCCUUUCGAAAGAAAGAUUAAUACCCGAUAGCAUAAUGAUUCCGCAUGGUUUCAUUAUUAAAGGAUUCCGGUAAAGGAUGGGGAUGCGUUCCAUUAGGUUGUUGGUGAGGUAACGGCUCACCAAGCCUUCGAUGGAUAGGGGUUCUGAGAGGAAGGUCCCCCACAUUGGAACUGAGACACGGUCCAAACUCCUACGGGAGGCAGCAGUGAGGAAUAUUGGUCAAUGGGCGCUAGCCUGAACCAGCCAAGUAGCGUGAAGGAUGAAGGCUCUAUGGGUCGUAAACUUCUUUUAUAUAAGAAUAAAGUGCAGUAUGUAUACUGUUUUGUAUGUAUUAUAUGAAUAAGGAUCGGCUAACUCCGUGCCAGCAGCCGCGGUAAUACGGAGGAUCCGAGCGUUAUCCGGAUUUAUUGGGUUUAAAGGGAGCGUAGGUGGACUGGUAAGUCAGUUGUGAAAGUUUGCGGCUCAACCGUAAAAUUGCAGUUGAUACUGUCAGUCUUGAGUACAGUAGAGGUGGGCGGAAUUCGUGGUGUAGCGGUGAAAUGCUUAGAUAUCACGAAGAACUCCGAUUGCGAAGGCAGCUCACUGGACUGCAACUGACACUGAUGCUCGAAAGUGUGGGUAUCAAACAGGAUUAGAUACCCUGGUAGUCCACACAGUAAACGAUGAAUACUCGCUGUUUGCGAUAUACAGUAAGCGGCCAAGCGAAAGCAUUAAGUAUUCCACCUGGGGAGUACGCCGGCAACGGUGAAACUCAAAGGAAUUGACGGGGGCCCGCACAAGCGGAGGAACAUGUGGUUUAAUUCGAUGAUACGCGAGGAACCUUACCCGGGCUUAAAUUGCAGUGGAAUGAUGUGGAAACAUGUCAGUGAGCAAUCACCGCUGUGAAGGUGCUGCAUGGUUGUCGUCAGCUCGUGCCGUGAGGUGUCGGCUUAAGUGCCAUAACGAGCGCAACCCUUAUCUUUAGUUACUAACAGGUUAUGCUGAGGACUCUGGAGAGACUGCCGUCGUAAGAUGUGAGGAAGGUGGGGAUGACGUCAAAUCAGCACGGCCCUUACGUCCGGGGCUACACACGUGUUACAAUGGGGGGUACAGAAGGCAGCUAGCGGGUGACCGUAUGCUAAUCCCAAAAGCCUCUCUCAGUUCGGAUCGAAGUCUGCAACCCGACUUCGUGAAGCUGGAUUCGCUAGUAAUCGCGCAUCAGCCACGGCGCGGUGAAUACGUUCCCGGGCCUUGUACACACCGCCCGUCAAGCCAUGGGAGCCGGGGGUACCUGAAGUACGUAACCGCAAGGAUCGUCCUAGGGUAAAACUGGUGACUGGGG